CUGACUACAACCAGAAAACGAUCAGGCUAACCGCAAGGGGCCUUCGUUGAAGGUGGGGUUGGGUGACGUGGGUG
rnacentral:rRNA from 1 species